rnacentral:rRNA from 1 species
CCUACGGGAGGCAGCAGUAGGGAAUCUUCCGCAAUGGACGAAAGUCUGACGGAGCAACGCCGCGUGAACGAUGAAGGCCUUCGGGUCGUAAAGUUCUGUUGUUAGGGAAGAACAAGUGCUAGUUAAAUAAGCUGGCACCUUGACGGUACCUAACCAGAAAGCCACGGCUAACUACGUGCCAGCAGCCGCGGUAAUACGUAGGUGGCAAGCGUUGUCCGGAAUUAUUGGGCGUAAAGCGCGCGCAGGCGGUUUCUUAAGUCUGAUGUGAAAGCCCCCGGCUCAACCGGGGAGGGUCAUUGGAAACUGGGAAACUUGAGUGCAGAAGAGGAAAGUGGAAUUCCAAGUGUAGCGGUGAAAUGCGUAGAGAUUUGGAGGAACACCAGUGGCGAAGGCGACUUUCUGGUCUGUAACUGACGCUGAGGCGCGAAAGCGUGGGGAGCAAACAGGAUUAGAUACCCUGGUAGUCCACGCUGUAAACGAUGAGUGCUAAGUGUUAGAGGGUUUCCGCCCUUUAGUGCUGAAGUUAACGCAUUAAGCACUCCGCCUGGGGAGUACGGUCGCAAGACUGAAACUUAAGAAAGUAUUGNGNGNGAGAGNGCGACGCGACGAGAGGAGGAG